UCAUCCUAUCUUUGAACUUAGAUAUGUCUACUUGUGUGGUUUUAGAUGACUACAGGAGUUCUUUGAAACCAGAAAUGGUGGAAGCCUUGGUGUGCGGUGCUAGUUAUAUCAAAGGUUCUCACAAGGACUUCAAUGUGGUGGAGAGAGAUGAAGAUGAGGAGGACGAUGUUGAGAAUAUCAAGUUGCCCAAGAUUGUUGAUGUGGGGGAUAACAACAAUUGAUAAUCGUCAUGUUGGUGUUGCUCUUGCUACUUUGAAGAUGGAUGUCUACAUGAUCUUGUCAUGUGGAUUGUUGAGGUCAACGCGAUCGUCUCGAGCCAUUUCUUUUGUUGUCAUGAACUUCGAAUUAUGU